rnacentral:rRNA from 1 species
GACGAACGCUGGCGGCGUGCUUAACACAUGCAAGUCGAACGGAAAGGCCCUGCUGUUGUGGGGUGCUCGAGUGGCGAACGGGUGAGUAACACGUGAGUAACCUGCCCUUGACUUUGGGAUAACUUGAGGAAACUGGUGCUAAUAACGGAUAGGAGCUCCUGCUGCAUGGUGGGGGUUGGAAAGUUUCGGCGGUUGGGGAUGGACUCGCGGCUUAUCAGCUUGUUGGUGGGGUAGUGGCUUACCAAGGCUUGGACGGGUAUCCGGCUUGAGAGGGUGACCGGCCACAUUGGGACUGAGAUACGGCCGAGACUCCUACGGGAGGAAGCAGUGAAGAAUAUUGCAUAAUGGGCGGAAGCCUGAUGCAGCAUCGCCGCGUGCGGGAUGACGGCCUUCGGGUUGUAAACCGCUUUCGCCUGUGACGAAGCGUGAGUGACGGUAAUGGGUAAAGAAGCACCGGCCACUACGUG